ACAAAGAUAAGCUUUUAAAGCGACCACGGUUUCGGCCCGUGCCAAGGAUCUACUAAUCCUCUUUGUU
rnacentral:tRNA from 1 species